UACGUAGGGUGCAAGCGUUAAUCGGAAUUACUGGGCGUAAAGGGUGCGCAGGCGGCUUUGCAAGACAGAUGUGAAAUCCCCGGGCUCAACCUGGGAACUGCAUUUGUGACUGCAAGGCUGGAGUACGGUAGAGGGGGAUGGAAUUCCGCGUGUAGCAGUGAAAUGCGUAGAUAUGCGGAGGAACACCGAUGGCGAAGGCAAUCCCCUGGACCUGUACUGACGCUCAUGCACGAAAGCGUGGGGAGCAAACAGG
rnacentral:rRNA from 1 species